UACGUAGGGGGCAAGCGUUGUCCGGAAUCAUUGGGCGUAAGGAGCGCGUAGGCGGCCCGGUAAGUCCGCUGUGAGAGUCGAGGGCUCAACCCUCGGAUGCCGGUGGAUACUGCCAGGCUAGAGUCCGGAAGAGGCGAGUGGAAUUCCUGGUGUAGCGGUGAAAUGCGCAGAUAUCAGGAGGAACACCGAUGGCGAAGGCAGCUCGCUGGGACGGUACUGACGCUGAGGCGCGAGAGCGUGGGGAG
rnacentral:rRNA from 1 species